GCAGGGAUAGCCAAGUCUGGUCAACGGCGCGGCGUUCAGGGCGCCGUCCCAUAGGGGUCCGCAGGUUCGAAUCCUGCUCCCUGCA
rfam:Halogeometricum pallidum JCM 14848 contig_3, whole genome shotgun sequence.